GUUAGAUUUGACAAAUAAGUAUCAUUCUGAUUUUCACCUUGGUUUCUCCAAACAGAAUUGACAAUAGAGCAACCUUGCUGUUUAGAAGAAAUCCUCUAGAAGAAAUCUGUCAGCUACUUCUCUAGGAAGAAUUAUACAGGCAAUAAAAGGAAUAAAGUCAACUUUUCUUAUUAUUGACUAUGUCAUUACUGACCCUGUGUAUGCUGUGUGGCAGCUCUGCUAUAACCAGUCGUCCAGGAAUCCAGGCUUCCUCCAUGCUGCAGACCAACAAUUUAAAAAACAUGGCUUCCACAUCAACCUGGCUUCAUCCAGUUAGCAGAAAGAGGGAUAAAAGAGAGUGGAGUAGGCAUACUUUUCUUAACUGCUCAACGGGGAUUAUAUUCUACUGCCAAAAAUGAAUUGUCUGGCCCUAUUUACAUGUAAAAACUAUGGAAAUGUAGUUUAGCUGUGUAGUUUAGUUUACCCGGAAGAGAAGAUGGGUUUGGUGAGCAUCUAGCUGAGCUCUAUUGUAUAUACAGGUGAAUUUCUAAUCUAUAAUUAUUAUCAGGU
rnacentral:lncRNA from 1 species